UAUUCUGCCCUACCGGGAAGGAUGAGAAGCUUCGACUAAGGUUCGACUCGAGCGCCAGCGAGAGAACGUUGCCGCAGGCAACGGCCCGAAGGGCGAGGAGCGAUAGCGACGAGUUAUCCUUCCCCCACCACCA
rnacentral:sRNA from 1 species